GAUCAUGGCUCGGGACGAACGCUGGCGGCGCGCCUAACACAUGCAAGUCGAACGGAGCUUAGAGAGCUUGCUUUUUAAAGCUUAGUGGCGAACGGGUGAGUAACGCGUGAGUAACCUGCCCUAGAGUGGGGGUACAACAGUUGGAAACGACUGCUAAUACCGCAUAAGCCCACGGUACCGCAUGGUACUGAGGGAAAAGGAUUUAUUCGCUUUAGGAUGGACUCGCGUCCAAUUAGCUAGUUGGUGAGGUAACGGCCC
rnacentral:rRNA from 1 species